GAUUCCAGAGAACGUCUAAGUGAGGAAAGAUCAUGACCAUAAAAAGACUUGCCUUUACAUCUUUCAGUACCAGUCCUUCCAGGCCCUCACGGAUGACUCGAUUGAUCAUAUCUGCCAGAUCUGAACCUUUCUGGAAGAAAAAGGAAACUGUUGUGUUAAGAUUAUCCUACCAGAUGGGGCUGUGUUCAUGGACAUUCCUGCCUGAGAGCUGUAACAGUUGGCAGGAGCAGAAAUGAAUAAAGAAUUACGAAGUGACUGCAAGAGAAAUGAACAAGAAGCUGGUUUCAGCAGAUGAGUCAUCCAAAUGGAUUCCAAUUCUGGUGCACACAACUCCACACAUGCGAGAGCAGAUUCUUUUGGCUGGCAGUGUCUUUUGGGGCUGUACCUAAGUCUUUGACAUCCUCGUGCUCCUCACCUACGGGUAUAAGACGGUGGAGCAGACCCAACUGUCCCUCAGUUCCUUCGCCAUACAGCAUCCAGAUGAUACAAGACUCUGUUGUAGAGGAAGAGGAGGAAGGCUGGUUGUGGAAUCCAUGUGCACUACACAGUCACUGAGUCAAUUCUCCACUCCAGCAUCAAGUUUCCCCAAUACUCUCAUAGCAAAAGGCAACCUUCAGUGGAAGGAAAAGGCUUGACAAAGCUGCUGGCUCCCUUAGAAUCCCUCCCUAACCAUUUUUCAUUUCUUCCCACUCAACUUCCAGAGGCAGAUGCCAAGAUGAAGCCCAUCCCACGAGCCACAAACUGGAUCUGGACACCUGAUGUACAAUACGACCAGUUCAUCCAAAUAAAAUCAGGGGACUUGGAAUUUGUUUCAACUAAUUUCGAAUUUGUUUUACUAUGCAAGAGGUGAGGGGACACAAUCUAAUUUCCAGUUGCAUAUGGAUAAACCAGGUUCUACUGUAAUUACUCUGUGUACCCAGUGAACAUCUGUUUGUCUUGAUGUUACAGAGACAAGAGGAUCAAUACCUUAGCAAUAACUUAGUUAACUAAACCCAAGCCUCUUUACUGCUCACAAGGUUCAGGAACUAACCAACAAAUGCUCAAGUUAUUGCAGAAGCUUUCAGUUAAUGGGAUACUACUCCACUUGGGAGGGACUAAGAUCUGCAUAGCUUCUGGACAGUUAUAUUCUGAAAACCAUGAGAAAUUUAUUUCUACACUUGCCAACUCUGUGGUUUCCCUUCCCUCACCCACAAGAUGGAUGCUCAAUUUCUUAGAGCUAAACUGGACAAAACUAGAAUAGCAUAAGAGAGAAUCCCACAUGGGCAAGAAAGACUGGGUGAAGUAAUGGACUCUUUCCAUCUCUAGCUUCCGUUAUACAAUUCUGAGCACGAUGAAAUAACUUACAAAACCAGAGUUUGUCCACACAAUCAAACGUGUGUACUGAAUUUUAAUUUAGAUAUGAAGUUCUUUCCAGUGGAAAA